rnacentral:lncRNA from 1 species
UCUGAACAAAUUUGCAAACAGGCAUACCGCCCGAGCUACGACGACGACGGAAAGUACGAAGCACUUGAACAAAUUCUGAAAAAAGGUAGCUUGAUACAUAUUUAAAUGUCUGGACGCGAAUUGUGCAGCCUGUAAUGCUUGUUAGGCCGCUGCAGUGAGGAUGGCUGCGUCACGGAGUUCUUCGACUCCUUCACCCACCACGCGAAGCAGCGCAUCAUCAGCAUCAUUCGUCUCUUCAGUGUCCAGGUUGAAUAUCUCCGUCAGUGCGGCGAUGGUGUCCAUCGGCAGCGGGCCAUUGAACAUGG